GCCUUAGUAGUAUAAUAAUUACAUUGGUCUUGUAAACCAAAAAUGGAGCACCACCCUCCCUAAGACA
rnacentral:tRNA from 1 species